ensembl:snoRNA
UGCAGACGAUGGCCCUUUCUCACGAUGGUCUGUGGAUGGCACUGUGGCCAGCGCCAAUAAUGCCAAUGGCUCAGCCGAUGCCAGGAA